rnacentral:rRNA from 1 species
UGCGUAGGUGGCCAGGUAAGUCGGAUGUGAAAUCUCGGAGCUCAACUCCGAAACUGCAUUGGAAACUGCCUGGCUUGAGGGUUGGAGGGGGGACUGGAAUACUUGGUGUAGCAGUGAAAUGCGUAGAUAUCAAGUGGAACACCAGUGGCGAAGGCGAGUCCCUGGACAACUCCUGACACUGAGGCACGAAAGCUAGGGGAGCAAACA